rnacentral:lncRNA from 1 species
GCUCAGCAUGUGUAAAUUGGCGGUCUGUAUUUCUGUGAACAUUGCUUUAAGCAUUACAAAUGAUGUCAUUACUUAAUAAAUUCGGUUUCAUUGUUCACUCACAAGAAAGAAGAAGGAAAGAUUUCUUUGUGUCCUAGGCCCUCUCACUAAAACCCUUCCCAAAUGGAGGACAGGCUUAGUUCAUGGCCUUCCACGUUGCAGGAAUUCCCGAUGGCCAGCAGAGAGAGCUCCAGCACCGCAGACCCGGAAGGGCGGGUUCCUCUGCCUAGGCAGUGAUGGCCAGCAGGGGGCGCACCAUCGGCUUUUCUGACCCAGGGCAUCUCAGAGCAGGAAGGGCUUCUGUUGCUCCCAGAGGACUCAGGGCCUAUGCCACUGCCUCAGUACAGAGAGCAAAGCUGCAUUUCCAGCAGGUUCUUCCGCCCGCCGCAGGGAAGACCUUGGGAGCUUUGCAGCAACUUGGCAUCUCCUGCGUCACCAGAGAGAAGCUGCCUUGUACUGAGUGUUGAGGAGGGGGCACUGGGUGGCUUCCCUGGGCAAGCUAGUUGCUGAGCUGCACAGAUCUUUGCAUUUUCUGGGCUGUUCCCGUGUUCCAUUCCUCCCCUUCCAGGACAAUAUUUGAACAAGACGUAUUUUACUAAAGGUCUCCUGGAUUGCUGGCUCUACGACAUCGCCUCAUAGAAGCACUCAAUGGUUUGUUCCAGAUUCAGGCUUGUUCCAGGAAGAAACCCUGACAGAAAUUCAGAAGAGCAGGAGCUGCAUUCAGUUAGGACAUGAAUACAUGAAAUGCUCCUCUCAUGACCUCCUAGAAGAAUGAGCUGGGGCCCACUUUCUGAGUCCUGCUGGAACCAGAGACCAAGCCCCAUUCCUUCUCCACAAGAGAUGCCUGUACCAACACAUGGUGGGGGAAAUGACAAAGAUGAGAUCCUGAGAAACUUGAGGAAUGUGGUAAUGGCAGCAGACACAUUCCCCUUGCAUCACAAUGGUCUGUGGUACCACCUCUGCACCUUGGCCCAAGACCUAACAGCAACAAAAAUAAGGUGAGUGUGUUUUACAAGUCAACUCCUAGUGCUUAGUGCUCAGAUCAUCUUACCAAGUGUUGCAGGUGGAGGAGUUCCAGGUGGCCCCAGGGCCACCAGGGUUCAGGAGGUGGAUGUGCCUAAUAGUCCAUGGGGGCAGGGCAUCUCUAGGGUAGGGCAUGCAGAAUCGUCCAGUUAAUGGAGGAGGUACUCAGGAUCCAGACUCCCCUGCAGAACAGAAGUGACAGCUACAUCCAUAUUGCCAGACAAGAGAACAAAUACUAAAAGCAUCUGUAACCCAGAGAAGAAGGUGUCAGCACCUUCUCUGCCACCAGGAUCCAAGAGAGUAGCAUGAGUACCUGAAAACUCUGUCCCUGCCACUGGAUACCACCUACAGCUUGGGGUAGUAGACGCAAGAGGUUAACCUAUUGCCACCACACAUCAUUGCCCAUGUCUGCGGAAGUAAAAUGGCAAGGGUCCUGUCCUAGAGGGUUAACAGAAGUAAUUACAGACUAAUGAAGUAGCAUUCUCCAGACAGGCAGCCAUCGAUGUCCAGGUUCAGCCUGCUUCC